GCAAACUUGGUCAUUUAGAGGAAGUAAAAGUCGUAACAAGGUUUCCGUAGGUGAACCUGCGGAAGGAUCAUUAUCGAGUUUUGAAAGGGGUUGUAGCUGGCCUUCCGGGGCAUGUGCACACCCUGCUCAAUCCACUCUUUACACCUGUGCACUUACCGUGGGUCCUCUGAGGUGGUGGAAGCAGGCCUAGGUCUUUUUCCUCGGCCUGUGAAGCCCCUUUUGGGCACGCGUUUUUAUUAUAAACCCUAAAGUGAUCAGAAUGUGCAAUGCGACGUUAACGCAUCUAUAUACAACUUUCAGCAACGGAUCUCUUGGCUCUCGCAUCGAUGAAGAACGCAGC
rnacentral:misc_RNA from 1 species